rnacentral:rRNA from 1 species
GAUGAACGCUGGCGGCGUGCCUAAUACAUGCAAGUCGAGCGAACAGACGAGGAGCUUGCUCCUCUGACGUUAGCGGCGGAAGGGUGAGUAACACGUGGAUAACCUACCUAUAAGACUGGGAUAACUUCGGGAAACCGGAGCUAAUACCGGAUAAUAUAUUUAACCGCAUGGUUCAAUAGUGAAAGACGGUUUUGCUGUCACUUAUAGAUGGAUCCGCGCCGCAUUAGCUAGUUGGUAAGGUAACGGCUUACCAAGGCAACGAUGCGUAGCCGACCUGAGAGGGUGAGCGGCCACACUGGAACUGAGACACGGUCCAGACUCCUACGGGAGGCAGCAGUAGGGAAUCAUCCGCAAUGGGCGAAAGACUGACGGAGCAACGCCGCGUGAGUGAUGAAGGUCUUCGGAUCGUAAAACUCUGUUAUUAGGGAAGAACAAAUGUGUAAGUAACUAUGCACGUCUUGACGGUACCUACUCAGAAAGCCACGGCUAACUCCGUG